UACGUAGGGUGCAAGCGUUGUCCGGAAUUAUUGGGCGUAAAGAGCUCGUAGGCGGUUUGUCGCGUCUGCUGUGAAAACUCAGGGCUUAACCCUGAGCCUGCAGUGGGUACGGGCAGACUAGAGUGUGGUAGGGGAGAUCGGAAUUCCUGGUGUAGCGGUGGAAUGCGCAGAUAUCAGGAAGAACACCCGUGGCGAAGGCGGCUCUCUGGGACGGUACUGACGCUGAGACGCGAAAGCGUGGGGAGCGAACAGG
rnacentral:rRNA from 1 species